rnacentral:rRNA from 1 species
GUGGGUAACCUGCCUUAUAGUGGGGGAUAGCCUUUCGAAAGGAAGAUUAAUACCGCAUAAGAUUGUAGUAUCGCAUGAUAUAGCAAUUAAAGGAGCAAUUCGCUAUAAGAUGGACCCGCGUCGCAUUAGCUAGUUGGUGAGGUAAUGGCUCACCAAGGCGACGAUGCGUAGCCGACCUGAGAGGGUGAUCGGCCACCAUUGGGACUGAGACACGGCCCAGACUCCUACGGGAGGCAGCAUG